AUCCAGCUGAUGAGUCCCAAAUUGGACGAAAUUUUUAAAGCCUGUCCAAGAU
rnacentral:hammerhead_ribozyme from 1 species